GACGAACGCUGGCGGCGUGCUUAACACAUGCAAGUCGAACGGAAAGGCCCUGCUUGCCGGGUACUCGAGUGGCGAACGGGUGAGUAACACGUGGGUGAUCUGCCCUGCACUUCGGGAUAAGCCUGGGAAACUGGGUCUAAUACCGGAUAGGAGCCAUUUUUAGUGUGAUGGUUGGAAAGUUUUUUCGGUGUAGGAUGAGCUCGCGGCCUAUCAGCUUGUCGGUGGGGUAAUGGCCUACCAAGGCGGCGACGGGUAGCCGGCCUGAGAGGGUGGACGGCCACAUUGGGACUGAGAUACGGCCCAGACUCCUACGGGAGGCAGCAGUGGGGAAGAUUGCACAAUGGGCGCAAGCCUGAUGCAGCGACGCCGCGUGGGGGAUGACGGCCUUCGGGUUGGAAACUCCGUUCGCUAGGGACGAAGCUUUUUGUGACGGUACCUAGAUAAGAAGCACCGGCUAACUACGUG
rnacentral:rRNA from 1 species